CAAGGAUUCCCUUAGUAACGGC
rnacentral:snRNA from 1 species